rfam:Nasonia vitripennis chromosome 1, whole genome shotgun sequence.
CAAUCGGCCCUUUUCAGGGCCAACAAUUUUUUUAACGAGGAUCACU